rnacentral:miRNA from 1 species
AGAGUUGGAGGAAAACAAACA